rnacentral:rRNA from 1 species
GAACCUGCGGAAGGAUCAUUACCGAGUUCUCGGGAUUCGGCUCGAAUCUCCCACCCUUUGUGAACAUACCUCUGUUGCUUUGGCGGCUCUUUGCCGCGAGGAGGCCCUCGCGGGCCCCCCCGCGCGCUUUCUGCCAGAGGACCUUCAAACUCCAGUCAGUAAACGUCGACGUGUGAUAAACAAGUUAAUAAACUAAAACUUUCAACAACGGAUCUAUUGCUUCUGGCAUCGAUGAAGAACGCAGCGAAAUGCGAUAAGUAAUGUGAAUUGCAGAAUUCAGUGAAUCAUCGAAUCUUUGAACGCACAUUGCGCCCCCUGGCAUUCCGGGGGGCAUGCCUGUUCGAGCGUCAUUACAACCCUCAAGCUCUGCUUGGUAUUGGGCGCCGUCCUCUAUGCGGACGCGCCUUAAAGACCUCGGCGGUGGCUGUUCAGCCCUCAAGCGUAGUAGAAUACACCUCGCUCUGGAGCGGUUGGCGUCGCCCGCCGGACGAACCUUAUGAACUUUCUCAAGGUUGACCU